AGGGUGGGUUGGAAUAGACUCGGUUUCUAUGAGCCAAGAAGUCAGCCGAAGUCAUAGUAGUUAUUGGUAACGAGCUGUAAGAUCUACAGAGGUCUCACUGGGUAACGAAGGAC
rfam:Anditalea andensis strain LY1 Contig_24, whole genome shotgun sequence.